AAAAUAAUUAAAGGGGGCCCACGUAUUAAAAUUUUCACCGUUCCACAAUUGUUACUAAGCAUGCGACGCUAUCUUCACGCACUUAGCCACACAUAACAAAAUGUUGGUUGGAAAAGUUCGUGACAUUACUAAGUUACUUUUCUAUAUGUAAAUAUAAUCCGAAGCUACGAAACCUGCCUUUCUCAACUAAUAAGUAGUGCAUCUAUUACUUUAUCUAUAUAUAUUUUUUUCUAAAACAUCGAAAACCGUCGUAAAAUGUUAUUGAUUAUAUGGACGAUUAAUGGCAAAACGUACAUGUUUGUAUGUACCGAUAAAAAAGUACCGCUAUUUUAUUUUAUAACAACGCUCAAAGCAGUCCAUACUUCACACAUACUACCUGUGCACGUAGAUAUGGCUACGUACAUACUUUUACUGAAAACAAUAAGCUUUAAGCUCUUGUGCAGUUCGGUCAUAACAUUAGAUUUUUACUUGCCUGGCACUAUCCUUCGGGGAAAACAGGUUACUCUAACAGUACAAAUCGUCUAUAAAAAACAUUGCCGUCAAGCAGUCAUGCAUAGUUUAUUUUCCUGAAGCACAACGGAAUCUUUCCAAAAAAAUAUGGUGCAAGUAGUAGUACGUUCAUGUGUAUUUUUAUCAAUCUUUAGGAAAACAAUGAUUCACGAAAUCCAACUGUGUAUUGUUCUUCUGUACACAUACAAACCUGGACAUCUAAUACACAUAUGAUCGCUGCAGUGUUAUUCAAAGUAACAUUGAAAUGUCAACAAAGGGAUUGAAAUGUUAUAAAUUAUAUCCUCCAUACGCUCGUAAGAGCGAUAGCUGUCUUCAAUCGUAUGUCCUAUAACAUUUACAUUUAUGUACAUAUGUAUAUAUGUAUAUCUCGACCGUUAUAUAGGUCGCUAACCAUAGCAACUGCAAUUUCAUCAAUUGUCGGCGAAAUAUAUUACCCCGCAUGCCUUCCAAAUGGUAAUUUGAUUGUGUUAAAACGGUACUCAUACCCGAAAUUUUUCGGUACUUCAUCUGCUCGAUGUGGUUAUACUGCCAGUAAAACAUACGUUUUUUGCUGUUUUUA